UGCUAUGAUACAUUUGAUUCAAGUCCCACAUUUUGUCAGUGCUGCAGCUGGAGAAGUGUAAUCGCUCACAAAUCUACAGAAAAUCCAUCAGUUCAUCCACCGCUAGAAUUUCCCUUUAACAGAGAUCAGUCUAUGAAAGCUAUACAGUAUACACAUGACUGACCACAUGUUUUUUGAGUAGGUACGUGGUGGGAGAGACACUGCAUACCAGAAAGUGGAGUGACUAGGUUACAAUAAGCUACAGUAGGCUAUGGCAUGUACAUUUCUAUUGACACCUCGGACUUAAGGACUAGGACGGGGUUGGCGCGUGUCGUACAGGGAAAACCCUGGAUGUUGUGCUAGUCGCACGGAUCAUUAAAUCUAGACGAGACCAUCAUUUGUAAUUCAUUAUCUCGUUGGUACUGCAGAAUAAUUAUUUUUCACAAUACAUUUAAAAACGAAUUAAGCAAAAUGUCGAUGUCGUUCUACAAGUCGUGGAUGAAGUCCAGGCCCUCGUUGCGUUGUACUGCGAAGACGUAACUCAGCUGCAAUUUGAAUUAUCGCGCUAUUCGAAUAGCAAAGUUUAUCAUUCGCUAAGUCAUAGGCUUCUCGAAUUAGGCUUCAUGAGAUCUGACAAAAAUGUCCCAGAUGAAAUAAAAAAAUGAAGCAACAGUACAGGGGUGUCAAGGCAAUGGAAUGAGUUGGAAUGACAGAAAACUGUUUAAAUGCUACGAUGCCAAUGACUCUAUAAUGGCAAACCAGCCAGCGGUAUGGAGUGGUGAGACAACCUCUGACCAAUCUGAUCUUGACCAACCGGAGAUGUAGUCCACUUCCCCCAGCAGCACAAUUCCCUGCCACCUUCACAAGGACACCGUUUGAACACACCUGCUCAUCUCCCUGUUACCCAGCUCAUACCUACCAUGCUUGAUUUGACACAAAUUCUUUUGAGGCGAAGCAAAGUGAAGCGAGAAUCUGGACAGAGGGAGUUGGUAGAAGCACUAAAUGACAUACAGUCAUGUGACCAUGAUCUAUUGGAAAGAAGGGCGGAUUCCCAGUGCUCAUUGGCACAACAGGCAUUUGAAUAUGUGAAGGAGAGGGACACCAGAGAAGACCGGCAGAUGGAGACAGUGAGGGAGCAGACCAAGCGUUUCAACGCCGGAAUCCUCAGUGUUUUCGGUCGGCUGGUUGAUGUCCUUUUCUCAGUCCGCCCCCAUCCUAGAUUUUGUGCUUGCUUACAUUCCUGCUCUUGUCCAACAUAACAGCCUCACAUGUACCCUUUCAUUCGUAAAUGGUUCUUAAAUUGUGCACUUAUGCACUUUUGACAAAAAUGUGAAUGUUUUAUUUUAAUGGGCAUACAGUCUUUUGACAUUACAAUGUACAGUUAGGUCCGGAAAUAUUUGGACACUGACACAAUGUGCAACAUUUUGGCUCGCCACCACAAUGGAUUUGAAAUGAAACAACCGAGAUGCAAUUGAAGUGCAGACUUUCAGCUUAAAUUCAAGGGGUUAAUCAAAAAAUAUUGUACGAAAUGAAUUGCAACCAUUUUCAUACACAGUCCCCCUACUGUAUUUCAGGGGCUCAAAUGUAAGUGGACA